rnacentral:rRNA from 1 species
GAUGAACGCUGGCGGCGUGCCUAAUACAUGCAAGUCGAGCGAACAGACGAGGAGCUUGCUCCUCUGACGUUAGCGGCGGACGGGUGAGUAACACGUGGAUAACCUACCUAUAAGACUGGGAUAACUUCGGGAAACCGGAGCUAAUACCGGAUAAUAUAUUGAACCGCAUUGUUCAAUAGUGAAAGACGGUUUUGCUGUCACUUAUAGAUUGAUCCGCGCCGCAUUAGCUAGUUGGUAAGGUAACGGCUUACCAAGGCAACGAUGCGUAGCCGACCUGAGAGGGUGAUCGGACACACUGGAACUGAGACACGGUCCAGACUCCUACGGGAGGAAGCAGUAGGGAAUCUUACGCAAUGGGGGAAAGCCUGACGGAGCAACGCCGCGUGAGUGAUGAAGGUGUUCGGAUCGUAAAACUCUGUUAUUAGGGAAGAACAAAUGUGUAAGUAACUAUGCACGUCUUGACGGUACCUAAUCAGAAAGCCACGGCUAACUACGUG